CAUGUAGCUAAGCGGUAAAGCGACGGACUCAAAAUCCGUUGAGUUAGUCUCAUCAUGGGUUCGAAUCCCAUCUCG
rnacentral:tRNA from 1 species